UGUUUAAUUUCCAGAGUUUAUUAACGGUUUUAUUAUUAUUGAUAUGUACCUGUACUUACCUGAGAUCUAUUAUACCUAGUAUCAUUGAUAGAAAUAAAACAGGCUUCCUAGGAAUAUUUUGGAAAUUUGCAAGAAUAGGU